AGCGAACGCUGGCGGCAGGCUUAACACAUGCAAGUCGAACGCAUCCUUCGGGAUGAGUGGCAGACGGGUGAGUAACACGUGGGAACGUACCCUUCGGUUCGGAAUAACUCUGGGAAACUAGAGCUAAUACCGGAUACGCCCUUUUGGGGAAAGGUUUACUGCCGACGGAUCGGCCCGCGUCUGAUUAGCUAGUUGGUGGGGUAACGGCCUACCAAGGCGACGAUCAGUAGCUGGUCUGAGAGGAUGAUCAGCCACACUGGGACUGAGACACGGCCCAGACUCCUACGGGAGGCAGCAGUGGGGAAUAUUGGACAAUGGGCGCAAGCCUGAUCCAGCCAGGCCGCGUGAGUGAUGAAGGCCUUAGGGUUGUAAAGCUCUUUUGUCCGGGACGAUAAUGACGGUACCGGAAGAAUAAGCCCCGGCUAACUUCGUGCCAGCCGCCGCCGUAACAC
rnacentral:rRNA from 1 species